AGAGGUCACGGUGUACCCGGCGACGGAAGGGCAGCCAUGGGCGGUCGGUUGGGCGGCGCACGAGAAUCUGCAGGCGGCUCACACUUUCCCACUCUCGCUGGGCUCCUCUCUCUCUGAUCUGGCCAUAGUGCUGCAAUGUUCCCAUAGAGAAGCAUCAGGACCAGCAGUGAAAAAAAUCCUUCAGAUGCACCGCAUCAACCAGUUGGAGACAGAUCAAGGGUCAAGGUCUGAGUGUUGGGAAACGCCACAAGAAGGGGAUUUGUAGGAUGAAGGACACAAACCAAGUACCACAGUGCGUGUAGUCGUGGGCAUCUAUGAAGGCGCUCCUCAGGCUGCUCGAGUGCAUCCUGUAGUAGCGAGGUCGACAUCCUGGUUUGGGGCGAGUACCAUGGCGGCGUGCCACAUCCCUGCAGGCAAGCUGGGCAGCAGCAUUUCCACGGGUGAUGGGUACAGAACAUGUAAGCAAGGAGAGGAGGAAUUAAAAAAAAAUACCAAUUUGGCCACAUAUUUGAUUUGAGAAGCAAGGGUGGCCUGGAGUCCAUGUUCAGGUUCUCGGUUGACGAGAACACCGUUGUGCCCGGCACCGGUCACAACCAUGGCCAUCAAGAAGAUCAAAUAGGAACGCUUACAGGAUGCUGGUACUUUUUUACCACUACCAAUCUUCUUAACAGAAUCAUUUCUUAUUGAAUUUCCCAAAUAUUUUGCUAUCAAAUAUGUUCUCUGUUUCUGAAGAAAAUGUGCAACCUGAAUGGAACUGGCUCAGAUGAUGAGACCACUGUUGUGCUGGCCAGCCCCGACACCGGGAUGGUAAUCUUCAUGAAGAAACUCAAAUAGGAAGGCCUCCAUAGUGCAGGCAUUGACUUAUUGGUGUGAUAUUUCGGUGUAACUGUUGCCAUGCGGCUACAUCUGCACUACACUUUACAUAUCGAUGAACUAAUAGGUGAUUCCUGGAUUUGUAUUUCCAGUUAUAUGCUUUCAAAGAAGGAAAGCCUAAGUGAGCAUGGAGAAAGAUUUUGAAUAAUCUAUCUGCCAUAUCAUAAAUCUGUUAAAUGUGAAAUAUAUUUAUGUUACAGGUCUAAAGUCAAUAGCGCAUUUUAUAUAAUUCUACAACUCUUAACAACUCUAUUUUUUGUUGCAAGAUAUAACUUCCUUCUUCUAUACCAUAUCUUCAAUUUCAGAGGAGUGGCAAGGUACCAACAAAUCAACAUCUUGAUUCCAGUGCACAUGCAACAACUGAAUUUCAAUGUUUAUUAUAGGUUGGCUUGGUGAGAUGGGCAUGCCCUUUGUCUGGUUGCCCUGCUCUGCCUCAAGUGGCCUCCCACACUGCGUUCAUCCCUGGUUCGGCAUGGUCAUGUAAGACAUGGAUUUCUGUAACUCAUGCUGCUUGGUUCAUGGCCUCUUCGUAACAAGAAAUGAGUGGUUGUAUUCUUUGGUCGUGCAAGAUGUAUGAUGUAUGCUCAAUCAUUUUGAUUAUUUUUAAAAAAUUCUAGAAAAGGUAAAUAUAUCAGAAAGUGUUAUAUAAGAAUGUACAAUCAGUUUUGUUUUCCCUGCUACUCUCUGUUUGUUAAUAUAUUGCCUUAGAUUACUCUACUCACACAUACCAUUUAGAGCUGCUUUCUCUGAUUCUUAUUAACCUGCAUAGAUAUCACUAUUAGGUUAGAGUAUGUAUGAUUUGCAAUCCAGUUCUCUUACCACGAUAUCAGAUUUGGUACCAUGGUUGUAGGCUUGUAGCAGAACGUUUUCUUUAGUAGGUUCCUCAACUUGGCCACUGAAUAUUCGAAUGUUUUUCAUGUGCCGAACAAUUUCUUACUGUACCUUGGUAAACUUUACUUGAGCAAAUCAAUUGCAAUUCAGACGUCAGAGCCCACCUUUCAGUGAUGAUCCCUUGUGUUUAAGCAUACGUACAAUUUUUUGUAGGCUAUUAUUUAUGUUUUCCUUUGCUUUCUUUUGUUAUAUUUAUCACAUCGAUUUUUUUCUUCACAAUUCUUCUCUUUUUGAACCUAUGUUUAUUAAUAGUGAGCCUAUGGUACCGAGAUUUUCUGAGCUCGGAGCCUGGUAGCUGCUGUUUUCGAUGUGGGUAGAACCAAAUCUACUAAGACCUUUAACUUCACUUCUUAUUUGGU